GACCUCAGUUGGUAGAGCAUGAGAUUCUACUAAUCUCAGGGUCAUGGGUUUGAUCCCUAUGUUGUGCA
rnacentral:tRNA from 1 species